UACAGAGACCUCAAGCGUUAUCCGGAAUCAUUGGGCGUAAAGCGUACCGAUAGGUGGUUUGGUUAGUCUUGGGUGAAAUCCCGAAGCUCAACUUCGGAUUUGCUCAGGAUACUGCCAGACUAGAGGGGCAAAGAGGAGAUUGGAACGAACGGUGUAGUAGUGAAAUGCGUUGAUAUCGUUCGGAACACCGAAAGCGAAGGCAGAUCGUCUGGGUGCCACCUGACACUGCUAGGACGAAAGCGAUGGGGAGCGAAGUGGG
rnacentral:rRNA from 1 species